rnacentral:lncRNA from 1 species
UUCAAUUUUUUCUUAGUCAAGUCCUUUUUAUUUCGUCAUUUCCAAGUGUUGCUAGAAUUUAGCGGAAAAAAAUUGAGUAUUCAAGUUACUAGCCCCGGGAAUAACGGCUGAAUUAAUUUUAAUGGAUAAUCAUGGAAUACGUGCUAUUUCCCUUAACGAACGAGAACAUACUUUAAAUUUAAGGCCGGUUCCACAGUUUAUGGACGAUAAUAAUCAGUAAUUUGAGACGUACAUAUAAUAAAAAGGGUAUCCAAACGCAAGGCUGGGAUGAGCGAAACCCCGAGUUAUAUCGAGACAUAAAUCAAUUAUUUAGGAGCAGGAAGGAGACUGUUAACGCGUGUGUAUGAAGGAAUCGAAUAUGCUUGUUGGCGCAGCUCUUUGCCCUUGAAGUGAAAAAUAGGAUUUGGUCUCCUGUAAUAGCCCAACACCCAAUCGUCUCGAGAUUGCCUCGAGGGAAGGAAUUGAGGGUUCCUUUAUGACCACAUUUAGAUGAGUAAAUUUCACUUUUAUGUAUGUACACGUUCGAAAGGACUAAUAAAAAAAUCGGCCGCGAUAUUUUAUAAAUGUUGACAUAUUACAAAAUAUUAAGCCAUAUUUAUAUGGUUGGGAAUGGUUAUCCAAGAUGGAGGCAUUCAAUAUUAUGAAAAUUUGAAACAGGAGAGCCUAAUCCCUUUGGAACACGCGAAGGUGA